GGGUGUACAGCUCAGUGGUAGAGCACAUGCUUAGUUAGCAUGCUCCAGGUCCUGGGUUCAAGCCCCAAUACCUCCA
rnacentral:tRNA from 1 species